CACGUAGGAGGCGAGCGUUGUCCGGAAUCAUUGGGCGUAAAGAGCGUGUAGGCGGCCAGAAAAGUCCGCUGUGAAAACUCGAGGCUCAACUUCGAGCUGUCGGUGGAAACUUUCUGGCUAGAGUCCGGAAGAGGAGAAUGGAAUUCCUGGUGUAGCGGUGAAAUGCGCAGAUAUCAGGAAGAACACCCGUGGCGAAGGCGGUUCUCUGGGACGGUACUGACGCUGAGACGCGAAAGCGUGGGGAGCGAACAGG
rnacentral:rRNA from 1 species